AUUGAACGCUGGCGGCAGGCCUAACACAUGCAAGUCGAACGAGUGGCGGACGGGUGAAUAAUGUCUGUGACACUGCCUGAUGGAGGGGGUUAACUACUGGAAACGGUAGCUAAUACCGCAUACCAUCGGAUGUGCCCAGAUGGGAUUAGCUAGUAGGUGGGGUAACGGCUCACCUAGGCGACGAUCCCUAGCUGGUCUGAGAGGAUGACGAGCCACACUGGAACUGAGACACGGUCCAGACUCCUACGGGAGGCAGCAGUGGGGAAUAUUGCACAAUGGGCGCAAGCCGGAUGCAGCCAUGCCGCGGGUAUGAAGAAGGCCUUCGGGUUGUAAAGUACUUUAAGCGGGGAGGCGUUACCCGCAGAAGAAGCACCGGCUAACUCCGUGCCAGCAGCCGCGGUAAUAC
rnacentral:rRNA from 1 species